AAAAAAAGACGCUCUGGGUUUACAUGUCCAACUUUGACUGUCCGUCUUAUAUAAAUUUUUUUUAUAAUUUGUAUUUUCAUUAUUGUUAGAUGAUAAAACAUGAUUAAUAUUUUAUACGUGACUUGUCUUUUUAAUUUUUUUUUCAUAAUUUUUUCAAAUGAGACGGACGGUCAAACGUUGGACACGAAAACCAGAAUUUGUCCUUUUU
rfam:Oryza rufipogon genomic scaffold, chr04